AUUGAACGCUGGCGGCAUGCUUUACACAUGCAAGUCGAACGGCAGCGGGGAGGAGCUUGCUUCUCUGCCGGCGAGUGGCGAACGGGUGAGUAAUACAUCGGAACGUGUCGAGAAGAGGGGGAUAACCACCCGAAAGGGUGGCUAAUACCGCAUAAAUUCUGAGGAAGAAAGCUGGGGACCUAGGAAUAGGCCUAGCGCUUUUUGAGCGGCCGAUGUCGGAUUAGCUAGUUGGUGAGGUAAAGGCUCACCAAGGCGAAGAUCUGUAGCGGGUCUGAGAGGAUGAUCCGCCACGCUGGGACUUAGACACGGCCCAGACUCCCACGGGAGGCAGCAGUGGGGAAUUUUGGACAAUGGGGGCAACCCUGAUCCAGCCAUGCCGCGUGUAGGAAGAAGGCCUUAGGGUUGUAAAGUACUUUUGUUAGGGAAGAAAAGUCAGCUGUGAAUAAUGGCUGAUACUGAGGGUACCUAAAGAAUAAGCACCGGCUAGCUACGUG
rnacentral:rRNA from 1 species